GGCGCUGAGAGGCGAUGAAGGACGUGCUACGCUGCGAUAAGCCGUGGGGAGCUGCGAAGAAGCUUUGAUCCGCGGAUUUCCGAAUGGGGAAACCCACCUUCGAUAGCCGGAACUCCAAGACCUUGAGGUUUAACGACCUUUGGUUUUGGGGUUUGAGUAGGAGACUGCGAAAAUCCUUGACCGCGAGGUUUUGGAUUUCCGGUUAUCAAGAGAAGGUAUGAGACUUCUGAAUACAUAGGAGGUUUCAAGCGAACCCAGGGAACUGAAACAUCUAAGUACCUGGAGGAAAGGACAUCAACCGAGACUCCGCUAGUAGUGGCGAGCGAACGCGGACCAGGCCAGUCAUGAAUGUGAGACAACCAGAACCUGUCAGGAAAGCAGGGCCUCAGAGGGUGAUAGCCCCGUAUGGGUAAUGCAAACAUUCAUGCUCGAGUACGGCGG
rnacentral:rRNA from 1 species